CUUAUUCCCAUGGCAAUCUUCUCUAAGUAAUGUUAAUUUAAGUACUUGGAACAUCAGUGCAUGUACCUUUCCAAGAAAUGCUUUCUAUCUUCAAGCUCCGAAGAGAUAAACCCAACCAUCCAAUCAAGACAUUUAUAUCAGAGUUUAUAGAAGUUUUUGCAAUUGUGAUCUCUCUCUCUCCUCCCUCCCUCCCUCCCUCUCUCUCUGGUUCCUGCGUGUGUG
rnacentral:lncRNA from 1 species